CAGUCGCCGCGGUAAUACGUAGGUGGCAAGCGUUGUCCGGAAUUAUUGGGCGUAAAGGGCUCGCAGGCGGUUUCUUAAGUCUGAUGUGAAAGCCCCCGGCUCAACCGGGGAGGGUCAUUGGAAACUGGGAAACUUGAGUGCAGAAGAGGAGAGUGGAAUUCCACGUGUAGCGGUGAAAUGUGUAGGGAUGUGGAGGAACACCAGUGGCGAAGGCGACUCUCUGGUCUGUAUCUGACGCUGAGGAGCGAAAGCGUGGGGAGCGAACAGGAUUAGAUACCCCAGUAGUCCCUGUCUCUUAUAC
rnacentral:rRNA from 1 species